rnacentral:rRNA from 1 species
UACAGAGACUGCAAGCGUUAUUCGGAUUCACUGGGCGUAAAGGGUGCGCAGGUGGCCAAGUGUGUUAGGCGUGAAAGCCCGGGGCUUAACCCCGGAAUUGCACCUAAAACUACUUGGCUAGAGCAUUGGAGAGGGGAGCAGAAUUCAUGGUGUAGCAGUGAAAUGCGUAGAUAUCAUGAGGAAUACCAGAGGCGAAGGCGGCUCCCUGGACAAUUGCUGACACUCAGGCAUGAAAGCGUGGGGAGCAAAAGGG